rnacentral:rRNA from 1 species
AGAGUUUGAUCAUGGCUCAGGAUGAACGCUAGCUACAGGCUUAACACAUGCAAGUCGAGGGGAAACGACAUCGAAAGCUUGCUUUUGAUGGGCGUCGACCGGCGCACGGGUGAGUAACGCGUAUCCAACUUGCCCACCACUUGGGGAUAACCUUGCGAAAGUAAGACUAAUACCCAAUGACGUCUCUAGAAGACAUCUGAAGGAGAUUAAAGAUUUAUCGGUGAUGGAUGGGGAUGCGUCUGAUUAGCUUGUUGGCGGGGUAACGGCCACCAAGGCGACGAUCAGUAGGGGUUCUGAGAGGAGGUCCCCANAUUGGAACUGAGACACGGUCCAAACUCCUACGGGAGGGA